ACCCAAUGUAUUUUCUCAGUUUUAAGUACAAAUAAUCCACCAAAGAACCAAACUCGGCUCCUCCCCAAACCACCGAAUAAAAAAAAUGUCAGACUUUUGAAGUCCAAACGGAAAUCAUACGAAGAGUCCCAGAUACAAAAUCGUUAAUUCGGUGCAGAUCGGUCUCAAAGGCAUGGAAGUCUGUAAUCGACAGCAAGGAGUUUGUUAAGGCUCAUAUUCUCCGACAUCAGGGGCAUAAUCGUCAUCUACUUAUAAAGACACUCGAUUGCACAGGCGAUAUUAUUCCAUUGUCGAUGAUGAUGACGUCACUUUCCCUCAUCAUCAAAAGAUGUGGAAUGUGAACAGAGAGCGUCUUAUAAACUCUUUUGAGGAGGAAUUAAAUCUCCAGCAGAAAUCUAGAGCUAGAUGGGCCCAAUUUUAAUGAUGAAAACUCAUCUUUUUUCCACGGGAUUAUUUACAGAUCCUCCCCUCAUUAAGCAGAAGGUCCUCUCUUUUUUUUUUCUACAAUAUUUAUUGAAUCUCAUUUGUCCUAACCUUUCCAAACUAUAUGAGUCUGAUGCUGCAUUUUUUAUUCGACCAUUCUCUACGGAUGAAAUACGAGGGGCGGUAUGGGCCUGUGCUGGGGAUAAGACCCCGGGCCCGGACGGGAUGAAUUUCUUUUUCUUAAGGCGCUGCUGGGACUGGGAGUUUCUAAAAGAUGACUUUUACAACUUGUUUAACGAAUUCUAAGAUGUUGCACUUAUCCCUAAGGUCAAAGACCCGCAACUCUUGUCUGAAUUUAGACCUAUCAGGUUAAUUGCAUGCAUCAACAAAAUCAUUUCAAAGGUGUUAGUAACGGAGCAUUCUAGACGGACCAUUAAUUAUCAAUGAGGUAGUGACUUGGCUUAAAAAAUCUAAAAAAAAACAAGCGUUGAUUUUUAAAGUGGACCUAGAAAAAGCCUUCGACUCUCUGAGCUGGACCUUCCUGAUUUCAAUUAUGGAGCUGAUGAAUUUCCCGCAAGUUUAGUGCACAUGGAUCAUGGCUUCAUUAUCUUCUGCACGGGCAUCAGUCCUAGUAAACGGGUCACCGACACAUGAGUUUCAGUGCUCUCAGGGACUUAGGCAGGGGGAUCUAUUGUCCCCAUUUCUUUUUAUUAUCGCCAUUGAAGCACUUACUAGAGUCAUGAAAAAGGCUUGUUCCAUAACGGGCUAAAAUGCAGAUGACUUGGUGUUCUUUGGAGAAUGGUCAAAUGCUAAUGCCCUUAACCUAUGCAGAACUCUUAGAUGUUUUUACCUUGCUUCGGGCCUUAGGGUUAAUGGCAGGGUUACUUUACUGCAGGGUCGGUGUUAUGCCAUUUUAAGUACCUUAGGUUAACGGUGGGUGGGAAUAUGAACUUGGUAAAAAACUGGCAGCCUAUUAUUGAUGUUUGUAGAAGCAGGUUAUCCAUUUGAAAAGCUAAUAACCUGUCGUCAGGUGGAAGAGUGACUAUGAUCAAAUCAGUCCUUAAUUCUUCACCAACUUAUUACUUUUCUAUCUAUAAGGUACCUUUACAGGUAUUGGAGAAGCUAGAUCAGCUACGAAGAGAUUUUUUUUUGAGGUGGCAAAGGGGAUUCUAAAAAAAACUUGUUGGGUAUCGUGGAACAAAGUUGUCCAACCUGAAGAACUCGGAGGCCUUGGCUUAGGUUCACUACGUGAAAUUCAUAAAGCUUCCUUGGAUUUGCAGCAACAAAUGAGGGCUUUUAUUGACAUCGAACCAAGUGACCUGUUUCUCUUUACCUUUUUUUUUGUAUAUGGCCUGUUUCAGAUAAACUACAACCUAACUUGAUCCGUUCAUAGGUAAUUGGGUAAAUUUACUAACAUAUGUAUGCAUGGGUUGUUCUUGGUGUAUAUAGUUAUAUAAGUUUCAUGUGAACUCUUACGACA